rnacentral:rRNA from 1 species
GACGAACGCUGGCGGCGUGCUUAACACAUGCAAGUCGAACGGAAAGGCCCUGCUUUUGUGGGGUGCUCGAGUGGCGAACGGGUGAGUAACACGUGAGUAACCUGCCCUUGACUUUGGGAUAACUUCAGGAAACUGGGGCUAAUACCGGAUAGGAGCUCCUGCUGCAUGGUGGGGGUUGGAAAGUUUCGGCGGUUGGGGAUGGACUCGCGGCUUAUCAGCUUGUUGGUGGGGUAGUGGCUUACCAAGGCUUUGACGGGUAGCCGGCCUGAGAGGGUGACCGGCCACAUGGGGACUGAGAGACGGCCCAGACUCCUACGUGAGGCAGCAGUGGGGAAUAUUGCACAAUGGGCGGAAGCCUGAUGCAGCAACGCCGCGUGCGGGAUGACGGCCUUCUGGUUGUAAACCGCUUUCGCCUGUGACGAAGCGUGAGUGACGGUAAUGGGUAAAGAAGCACCGGCUAACUACGUG